GUGCUAGUUUCAGCAGCACAUAUACUAAAAUUGGAAUGAUGCAGAGAAGAUUAGCAUGUCCCCUGCAUAAGGAUGACAUGCAAAUUCAUGAAGCGUUUCAUAUUUUA
ensembl:snRNA U6 U6 spliceosomal RNA